AGUGAACGCUGGCGGUAUGCCUUACACAUGCAAGUCGAACGGUAACAGGUCUUCGGAUGCUGACGAGUGGCGAACGGGUGAGCAAUACAUCGGAACGUGCCUAGUAGUGGGGGAUAACUACUCGAAAGAGUGGCUAAUACCGCAUGAGAUCUACGGAUGAAAGCAGGGGAUCGCAAGACCUUGUGCUACUAGAGCGGCCGAUGGCAGAUUAGGUAGUUGGUGGGAUAAAAGCUUACCAAGCCGACGAUCUGUAGCUGGUCUGAGAGGACGAUCAGCCACACUGGGACUGAGACACGGCCCAGACUCCUACGGGAGUCAGCAGUGGGGAAUUUUGGACAAUGGGCGAAAGCCUGAUCCAGCAAUGCCGCGUGCAGGAUGAAGGCCUUCGGGUUGUAAACUGCUUUUGUACGGAACGAAAAGCCCCGGGUUAAUACCCUGGGGUCAUGACGGUACCGUAAGAAUAAGCACCGGCUAACUACGUGCCAGCCGCCGCAGUAA
rnacentral:rRNA from 1 species